GAAAUGCGAUAAGUAGUGUGAAUUGCAGAAUUCAGUGAAUCAUCGAAUCUUUGAACGCACAUUGCGCCCCUUGGUAUUCCAUGGGGCAUGCCUGUUCGAGCGUCAUUUGUACCCUCAAGCUCUGCUUGGUGUUGGGUGUUUGUCCCCGUCUCCGCGCGUGGACUCGCCCCAAAGUGAUUGGCAGCCGGCGUACUGGUCCCGGAGUGCAGCACAUGUCGCGCAAACGAGUGCCUUGGUACGGCGGCGUCCAUAAGCCCCUCUCUCACGCUCUUGACCUCGGAUCAGGUAGGGAUACCCGCUGAACUUAAGC
rnacentral:misc_RNA from 1 species